rnacentral:rRNA from 1 species
AUUCCAGCUCCAAUAGCGUAUAUUAAAGUUGUUGCAGUUAAAAAGCUCGUAGUUGAACUUCAGACCAGGCCGGGCGGUCUGCCUAACGGUAUGUACUGUCUGGCCGGGCCUUACCUCUUGGUGAGCCGGCAUGCCCUUUACUGGGUGUGUCGGGGAACCAGGACUUUUACCUUGAGAAAAUUAGAGUGUUCAAAGCAGGCCUAUGCCCGAAUACAUUAGCAUGGAAUAAUAAAAUAGGACGUGCGGUUCUAUUUUGUUGGUUUCUAGAGUCGCCGUAAUGAUUAAUAGGGAUAGUUGGGGGCAUUAGUAUUGCGUUGCUAGAGGUGAAAUUCUUGGAUUUACGCAAGACUAACUUAUGCGAAAGCAUUCACCAAGGAUGUCUUCAUCG